UACGUAGGUGGCAAGCGUUGUCCGGAUUUACUGGGCGUAAAGAGCGCGCAGGCGGUUCAUCAAGUCGAAUGUGAAAGCCCCCGGCUCAACUGGGGAGGGUCAUUCGAUACUGCUGGACUUGAAGGCAGGAGAGGGAAGUGGAAUUCCCGGUGUAGUGGUGAAAUGCGCAGAUAUCGGGAGGAACACCUAUGGCGAAGGCAGCUCGCUGGGACGUUACUGACGCUGAGACGCGAAAGCGUGGGGAGCAAACAGG
rnacentral:rRNA from 1 species